AGAGUUUGAUCCUGGCUCAGGAUGAACGCUAGCGGCAGGCUUAACACAUGCAAGUCGAGGGGCAUCGGGAGGGAAGCUUGCUUUCCUUGCCGGCGACCGGCGCACGGGUGAGUAACACGUAUGCAACCUGCCCUCUUCAGGGGGACAACCUUCCGAAAGGGAGGCUAAUCCCGCGUAUAUCGGUUUCGGGCAUCCGAGAUCGAGGAAAGAUUCAUCGGAAGAGGAUGGGCAUGCGGCGCAUUAGCUAGACGGCGGGGUAACGGCCCACCGUGGCGACGAUGCGUAGGGGUUCUGAGAGGAAGGUCCCCCACACUGGUACUGAGACACGGACCAGACUCCUACGGGAGGCAGCAGUGAGGAAUAUUGGUCAAUGGGAGAGAUCCUGAACCAGCCAAGCCGCGUGAGGGAAGACGGCCCUAUGGGUUGUAAACCUCUUUUGUCGGAGAACAAAACCCGGGACGAGUCCCGGACUGCGUGUAUCCGAAGAAAAAGCAUCGGCUAACUCCGUGCCAGCAGCCGCGGUAAUACGGAGGAUGCGAGCGUUAUCUCGGAUUUAUUGGGUUUAAAGGGUGCGUAGGCGGUCCGUUAAGUCAGCGGUAAAAUUGCGGGGCUCAACCCCGUCGAGCCGUUGAAACUGGCAGACUUGAGUUGGUGAGAAGUACGCGGAAUGCGCGGUGUAGCGGUGAAAGUGCAUAGAUAUCGCACAGCACUCCGAUUGCGAAGGCAGCGUACCGGCGCCAGACUGACGCUGAGGCACGAAAGCGUGGGGAUCGAACAGGAUUAGAUACCCUGGUAGUCCACGCAGUAAACGAUGAAUG
rnacentral:rRNA from 1 species